rnacentral:rRNA from 1 species
AAACUGCGAAUGGCUCAUUAAAUCAGUUAUCGUUUAUUUGAUAGUACCUUACUACUUGGAUAACCGUGGUAAUUCUAGAGCUAAUACAUGCUAAAAACCCCAACUUACGAAGGGGUGUAUUUAUUAGAUAAAAAACCAAUGCCCUUCGGGGCCCCCUGGUGAUUCAUAAUAACUUAACGAAUCGCAUGGCCUUGCGCCGGCGAUGGUUCAUUCAAAUUUCUGCCCUAUCAACUUUCGAUGGUUGUGUAGUGGACAACCAUGGUAUCAACGGGUGACGGGGAAUUAGGGUUCUAUUCCGGAGAGGGAGCCUGAGAAACGGCUACCACAUCCAAGGAAGGCAGCAGGCGCGCAAAUUACCCAAUCCCGAUACGGGGAGGUAGUGACAAUAAAUACUGAUACAGGGCUCUUUUGGGUCUUGUAAUUGGAAUGAGUACAAUUUAAAUCCCUUAACGAGGAACAAUUGGAGGGCAAGUCUGGUGCCAGCAGCCGCGGUAAUUCCAGCUCCAAUAGCGUAUAUUAAAGUUGUUGCAGUUAAAAAGCUCGUAGUUGAACCUUGGGCCUGGCUGGCCGGUCCGCCUCACCGCGUGUACUGGUCCGGCCGGGCCUUUCCUUCUGGGGAGCCGCAUGCCCUUCACUGGGUGUGUCGGGGAACCAGGACUUUUACUUUGAAAAAAUUAGAGUGUUCAAAGCAGGCCUUUGCUCGGAUACAUUAGCAUGGAAUAAUAGAAUAGGACGUGUGGUUCUAUUUUGUUGGUUUCUAGAACCGCCGUAAUGAUUAAUAGGGAUAGUCGGGGGCAUCAGUAUUCAAUUGUCAGAGGUGAAAUUCUUGGAUUUAUUGAAGACUAACUACUGCGAAAGCAUUUGCCAAGGAUGUUUUCAUUAAUCAGUGAACGAAAGUUAGGGGAUCGAAGACGAUCAGAUACCGUCGUAGUCUUAACCAUAAACUAUGCCGACUAGGGAUCGGGCGAUGUUAUUAUUUUGACUCGCUCGGCACCUUACGAGAAAUCAAAGUUUUUGGGUUCUGGGGGGAGUAUGGUCGCAAGGCUGAAACU